CUAUUAGGUUGCUGCUAAAAGUAAUUGCAGUUUUUGCCAUUAAAAAGUAAUUGCAAAAACUGCAAUUCCAUU
rnacentral:miRNA from 10 species